GGCCCUGUCGUCUAGCCAGGCCUAGGACACAAGGUUUUCAACCUUGCAACACGAGUUCAAAUCUCGUCAGGGUCA
rnacentral:tRNA from 1 species